CUUUUCUAGUAUAACUAUUACAAAUGACUUCCAAUCAUUAAAUCUUGAAUUACAAGGAAAAGUA
rnacentral:tRNA from 2 species